rnacentral:misc_RNA from 1 species
GAUGAAGAACGCAGCGAAAUGCGAUAAGUAAUGUGAAUUGCAGAAUUCAGUGAAUCAUCGAAUCUUUGAACGCACAUUGCGCCCCUUGGUAUUCCGGGGGGCAUGCCUGUUCGAGCGUCAUUUCAACCCUCAAGCCCCCGGGCUUGGUGUUGGGGAUCGGCGAGCCUCCGCGCCCGCCGUCCCCUAAAUCUAGUGGCGGUCUCGCUGUAGCUUCCUCUGCGUAGUAGCACACCUCGCACUGGGAAACAGCGCGGCCACGCCGUUAAACCCCCAACUUCUGAACGUUUGACCUCGGAUCAGGUAGGAAUACCCGCUGAACUUAAGCAUAUCAAUAAGCGGAGGA